GGAAUCUUCCGCAAUGGACGAAAGUCUGACGGAGCAACGCCGCGUGAGUGAAGAAGGUUUUCGGAUCGUAAAGCUCUGUUGUUAGGGAAGAACAAGUACCGUUCGAAUAGGGCGGUACCUUGACGGUACCUAACCAGAAAGCCACGGCUAACUACGUGCCAGCAGCCGCGGUAAUACGUAGGUGGCAAGCGUUGUCCGGAAUUAUUGGGCGUAAAGGGCUCGCAGGCGGUUUCUUAAGUCUGAUGUGAAAGCCCCCGGCUCAACCGGGGAGGGUCAUUGGAAACUGGGGAACUUGAGUGCAGAAGAGGAGAGUGGAAUUCCACGUGUAGCGGUGAAAUGCGUAGAGAUGUGGAGGAACACCAGUGGCGAAGGCGACUCUCUGGUCUGUAACUGACGCUGAGGAGCGAAAGCGUGGGGAGCGAACAGGA
rnacentral:misc_RNA from 1 species